AUUGAACGCUGGCGGCAGGCCUAACACAUGCAAGUCGAGCGGAUGAAGGGAGCUUGCUCCUGGAUUCAGCGGCGGACGGGUGAGUAAUGCCUAGGAAUCUGCCUGGUAGUGGGGGAUAACGUCCGGAAACGGGCGCUAAUACCGCAUACGUCCUGAGGGUGAAAGUGGGGGAUCUUCGGACCUCACGCUAUCAGAUGAGCCUAGGUCGGAUUAGCUAGUUGGUGGGGUAAAGGCCUACCAAGGCGACGAUCCGUAACUGGUCUGAGAGGAUGAUCAGUCACACUGGAACUGAGACACGGUCCAGACUCCUACGGGAGGCAGCAGUGGGGAAUAUUGGACAAAGGGCGAAAGCCUGAUCCAGCCCUGCCGCGUGUGGGAAGAAGGUCUUCGGAUUGUAAAGCACUUUAAGUUGGGAGGAAGGGCAGUAAGUUAAUACCUUGCUGUUUUGACGUUACCAACAGAAUAAGCACCGGCUAACUUCGUG
rnacentral:rRNA from 1 species